CUCCGUGUAGCUCAAUAGUGUAGAGCGCCUGGUUUGGGACCAGGAGGUUGAGUGUUCGAGUCACUCUAUGGAGA
rnacentral:tRNA from 1 species